AUCGGAAAAGUACAACAUUAUUGAAACUAGCUAUAUAAACAAAAUCAAGUUUAAAUUCCUAACAGUUUAAACGUUUUGAAUAAAGCGAAGAUGAAGACUUUAUCAAUUUGCGUAUUUGUGGGUUUGCUCGUGCUGAUCCAAUCCGAUCAGUCAGUGCCACCACCUGACGUGCACUGCAGAAUUGUUUGUCUUGGAGGGUGUGAGGAAGUUGAUGAGGCAGCUUGCGUUGCAAGGGGUGGCCGGGUUGGAAAGCCGACUUGUGCAUGUUGUGAUAUAUGUAUACUUCGAUCAGACUAAUAAAUGAUGCACUGAUACAUUCACAAAUGCCGUUCUCUAUGGAUGCAACAACGGAUGUGAUAUUUGAAAUUGAAAAUUAAUAAAGCAUUUAUGUAAAAUA